GUUAGGUAAUUUGCCUUUGCGUUCAAACAUUAGGAGUUGCUCUUGGUCACACUGCAAAACAAGAAAAUGGAUCACCAGUCAAUAGUUAUUCAGCUACCUAUUGGGUAUCAACUAUUCAAAAUCUCCUCACACGAGGACCCAGACUAAGUUAUUGCUACCAACUGAGACUCGAUGGCAUGGAUAUGAAUACUUAAAAGAGCAAGGGUCCAUCCUGUAGUGAACGACAACUAUGCAUGUUGUUUCACCAUGCACAGUGGUGAAAGGAUAUUGUGAGAUAUAUUUUAAAUAACUUAAAAUUUGGGAUAACAGCUGCUGGAAUGUGUUACCUGAAAUUUGGAUGUGCAAAUGAGAACUCGCAUGUGUAAAAUUCAGUGCGACCACAACUAGAAGUUGCUGAAGUCCACUAUUUCAGCUGGUGGAGACUUCAUCCAGUGGUUUACAGGAUCUGUCAAUGUUAAAUUCAGGGAAUUGUGACAGUGAAGACAAAAGAAACUCCAGGCUGGAAUCUAGAAGAAGAAAAAACCUCUGGUAGAAUUCAAUUGGCCAGGCAACAACUGUGAUGGUAAAAGUGCAAGUUGACAUUUUGGACCAAGGCCCUGAGAAGGAAGAGGAAGGAUUACCAGCAUAGAGCUGUACAAGAAGCUGUGUGGGGUGCAGAUUGGGGUGGGGGUGAUGGGAUGGGACAGAGGAGGCAGAUAAUUGGUGGGACUGGAUAGGACAGGGAUGAUAGGACGGAGUUAUUGUGGAACCAGGUGGGGGAGGAAGGAGACGGGUGAACAAAAGAAGUAAAUUAGAUGGAUGUGUGGAGUGUGUGUAGGAGGAAGUAUCUGGGAAGUGUUAUUCUUCCAAUUUGUGGCAAUGUACUAACACACCUUACAAUGAAGUGUAAUGCUUACCAUGGCUCUGACCUUGAGUUCUGGUAGCUGCUGCCUAUUAAGUGUUUUAUAUCAGCUCAUCAUUUGUCUAAUGACCAGCUUGCUGCUGCUUCCUUUUGCAACAUGUAAAAAAGAUUAUGUUGAGGUUGAAAUGGUUUCGAGACAAGAUCCCUACUGAAUCAGGAGCAAGUCACAACUUUGGCGGACUUAAAUCCAGUAUAUGAGUCAGACCAAGUCAGUAGUUUGUUCAUGGUCGAUCUUCUAUGUUGGCCCCUUAGCAAGCUUUAGAAAAAUAAACAGGCUUGUUAGCAGGAUCAGGAAUCCUUCUAUCUCAGUUCCAGAUAACUGUACAACCUAAUAAUGUAACAGGAAAGUUGUACUAAGUUGGACAAGAAUUCUGGAAACUUAUCAGUGCUUUGUGCUUCUGCACUUUGUAGCUUUAGCUGAUUAAAUUGAAGCAACAUCUCUGUAAACUUAGGCGGUGAAAGAGUCAUCGGCAUCUUUUGCAUAAUUAACUAAAGAAUAUCAUUAUAGUAGAAGUGCCCACUUAACAUUGGGAAAAUAAACAGGUGAUAGGUGGAAAAGGUAAAGGGAGAGAGGAAGGAAUCUGAUAGGAGAGGAGAGUGGACCAUGGGUGAAAGGGAAAGAGGGUCACUAGAGGAAGGUGAGGAGAAGAAAAGGGGUAAGAAGGGAGCCAGAAUGGGGAAUGGAAAAGGAGACAAGAGGGAGGGGGGGAGAAAUUACCGCAAGUUGGAAAAAUUGAAGUUAAUGCCAUCAGGUUGGAGGCCACCCAAAUCGAAAACGAUGUGUUGCUCUUCCAAACAGAGUUAUUUUAUUGCAGCAGUAGAGAAAUGAAAUGGGGAGUGGAAUUAAUAUAGUUGGCCACCAGGAAAUUUUCCCUGUUGCAGGUAGAGCACAGGUGCCCAACAAAGUGGUUCCCCAAAUCCAGGUCAGGUCUCACCGAUGUUCAGAAGGCCCCACUGGGAACACUAGGUACAGUAGAUGACCCUUCAGACUUGCAGGUAAAGUGCUGCCUCAUUGUUUGGGGCCCUGAAUUGUGGUGAGGGAAGAGGUGUAGCACUUCUUCUGCAUGCAGAAAUAAAUGCCAGGAGGAAGGAAUAAAUGGAGAAGGGAAUUACAGAGAGAGCUAUCUAAGUGGAAUGCAGAGAGUGAGUGGAGGUAAAGGUGUGUUUGGUGGUAGGAUCCUGUUGAAGAUGGCAGAAAUUGCAGAGAAUGAUGUGCUGAAUGCAGGGAUUGAUAGGGCAAGAGGAGCUCUACACUUGUGUGGCAGCAAGAAUGUGGGCUGAGAGUAGUCAUCUGGGAAAUGGAGGCGAUGUGAGUAUGGAAACAUUAAUGGUAGAGGAAGGGAAAUCCCAUUCUUUGAAGAAGGAGGAUCAGAGAGAUCUUGGGGUCUGAGUCCAUAGGACACUUGAAACUGCUGCGCAGGUUGAUUCUGUGGUUAAGAAGGCAUAUGGUGCAUUGGUCUUCAUCAAUCGUAGGAUUUAAUUUAAGAGCCGAGAGGUAAUGUUGCAGCUAUAUGGGACCCUGGUCAGACCCCACUCAGAGUACUGUGCUCAGUUCUGGUCACCUCACUAAAGGAAGGAUGUGGAAGCCAUAGAAACGGUACAGAAGAGAUUUACAAAGAUGUUGCCUGGAUUGGGGGGCAUGCCUUAAGAGAAUAGAACCAUAGAACAUUACAGCACAGAGACAGGCCUUUUGGCCCUUCUUGGCUGUGCCAAACCAUUUUUCUGUCUAGUCCCACUGACCUGCACCUGGCCCAUAUCCCUCCAUACACCUCUCAUCCAUGUACCUGUCCAAGUUUUCUUAAAUGUUAAAAGUGAGCCCGCAUUUACUACUUCAUCUGGCAGCUCAUUCCACACUCCCACCACUCCCUGUGUGAAGAAGCCCCCCCCCAUGUUCCCUUUAAACUUUUCCCCCUUCACCCUUAACCCAUGUCCUCUGGUUUUUUUCUGCCCUAGCCUCAGUGGAAAAAGCUUGUUUGCAUUCACUCCUCUAUACCCAUCAUAAUUUUAUAUACCUCUAUCAAGUCUCCACUCAUUUUUCUAUGCUCCAGGGAAUAAAGUCCUAACCUAUUCAACCUUUCUCCAUAACUCAGUUUCUCAAGUCCCGGCAACAUCCUUGUAAACGUUCUCUGCACUCUUUCAACCUUAUUAAUAUCCUUUCUGUAAUUAGGUGACCAAAACUGCACACAAUACUCCAAAUUUGGCCUCACCAAUGCCUUAUACACCAAAACAUUCCAACUCUUAUACUCAAUACUUCGAUUUAUAAAGGCCAAUGUACCAAAAGCUCUCUUUACUACCCUAUCUACCUGUGAUGCCACUUUUAGGGAAUUUUGUAUCUGUAUUCCCAGAUCCCUCUGUUCUUCUGCACUUCUCAGUGCCCUACCAUUUACCUUGUAUGUUCUACCUUGGUUUUUCCUUCCAAACUGCAAUACCUCACACUUGUCUGUAUUAAACUCCAUCUGCCAUUUUUAGCCCAUUUUUCCAGCUGGUCCAGAUCCCUCUGCAAGCUUUGAAAACCUUCCUCACUGUCCACUACACCUCCAAUCUUUGUAUCAUCAGCAAAUUUGCUGAUCUGAUUUACCACAUUAUCAUCCAUAUCAUUGAUAUAGAUGAAAAAUAACAAUGGACUCGGCACUGAUCCCUGUGGCACACCACUAGUCAUAGGCCUCCACUCAGAGAAGCAAUCCUCCACUACCACUCUCUGACUUCUCCCAUUGAGACAAUGUCUAAUCCAAUUUACUACCUCACCAUGUAUACCUAGCGACUGAAUCUUCCUAAAUAACCUCCCAUGCGGGACCUUGUUAAAGGCCUUACUGAAGUCCAUGUAGACAACAUCCACUGCUUUCCCUUCAUCCACUUUCCUUGUAACCUCCUCAAAAAACUCUAAUAGAUUUGUUAAACAUGACCUACCAUGCACAAAGCCGAGUUGACUCUCCCUAAUAAAUCCCUGUCUAUCUAAAUACUUAUAAAUCCUAUCCCUUAGUACUCCUUCCAAUAAUUUGCCUACUACCAACGUCAAACUUACCGGCCUGUAACUUCCUGGAUUACUUUUAGAGCCUUUUUUAAACAACGGAACAACAUGAGCUAUCUUCCAAUCCUCUGGCACCUCACCCGCAGAUACUGACAUUUUAAAUAUAUCUGCCAAGGCUCCUUCAAGUUGAAUUCGUCCUUUUCUCCUUGGAGUGACAGAGAAUGAGAUGUGACCUGAUAGAGGUGUAUAAGAUGAUGAGAGGCACCGAUCGUGUGGAUAGUCAGAGGCUUUUUCCCAGGGCUGAAAUGGCUAACACAAGAGGGCACAAUUUUAAGCUGCUUGGAAGUAGGUACAAAGGAGAUGUCAGGGGUAAGUUUUUUAUGCAGAGAGUGGUGAGUGCGUGGAAUGGGUUGGUGGCAGUGGUGGUGGAGGCGGAUACGGUAGGGUCUUUUAAGAGACCUCUGGACAGGUACAUAGAGCUUAGAAAAAUAGAGGGCUAUGGGUAACCCUAGGUAAUUUCUCAGGUAAGGACAUGUUCGGCACAGCUUUGUGGGCUGAAGGGCCUGUAUUGUGCUGUAGGUUUUCUAUGUUUCUAUCUCAGAUGUCCUGAAAGGUAAAGCCUCUCCUGAGAUGUGGUAGAGACAGAGGAACCGAGAAAAGAGAAUGGUGUUUUUACAAAUGACAGGCUGGGAAAACUUACAGACAAGAUAGCUGUGAGACUCAGUAGGGUUAUAAAAGAUAUCAGUGGACAGUUUGUCUCCAGAGAUGGAGACAGAGAGAUCGAUAAAGGGGAGAGGGGUAUAGGAAAUACAUCUUCAAGUUCGAUUUCAUUGUUAUUCAACAAUAUACAUGCAUACCACCAACUGAAACAAUGUUCCUCCAAACCAAAGUGCACAACACAGUACAAACAGACCAGAUUUUAGAGCAAGUGAAUUCAAGGGUAGGGGGGUAGAAGGAGGCAAAUUUAAUGAAAUUGGUGUGCUCAGCGUGGAUGCAGAAAUCAGCACCAAUGCAGUCAUCAGUGUAGCUCAGGAAGAGUUGGGGGGGGGGGGCAUGACCAUUGAAAGCUUGGAGCAUGGAUUAUUCCACAAAGGUAAUGAAAAGGUAGCCAUGGCUAGGGCCCAUGCAGGUGUCCAUGGUUACACCUUCCGUCUGGUGAAAGUGGGAGGGGCCAAAGGAGAAAUUGCUGAGUGUAAGGACCGGUUCUGGCCGACAGAGGAGGGUGGUGGUGGAGGGCAUCUGGUUGGGUCUGUUGUCUAGAAAGAAGAGGAGAUCUUCACUUUCCAUAUUUCCCUCCAUAGAUGCUGCCUGACCUGCUGAGUUCUUCCAGCAUUUUGUGUGUUCUUAUUUUCUCAAAGUUGACUUUCCAGUGACCAAAGCAAGCACAGUGUUAUUGUGCUGAACUCUGAUAACAAGUAUCCUGUGACAAAAUAAAGGUGCAGCGUGUCUGCUGAAUAUUUCCGGAACCUUCUGUUUUUUUUUUAUUUUGGGCUUGGAUUAUCCAAAUAAUUAAAAAUGUAACAAUGAUACAUUAUUAAAAUGAUUUUGAUUUAGAA